GGAAGAUGGAAAAAGUGCUCUAUGAGAAAACUGAGGCUUGGAAUGGUGAAGGAGGUCACUGAAAGUCACACUGUGAGUUAAACUGCAAAGCUGUGAAUGGAAAACCCCCUAAGGCCCUGCUCUUAGCUCCUCUUGGUUCCCUGUUGCAAAGAGGCAUUCCCCAGGCAGCUGUGAGGUGGAAAUCUCUGUCUUCAGGCUUGCGGCUGAGAAGUUUCCCAGAGACGAGAAGCUGGAGCCUUUGGAGACCCCACUCGGCUGAGGUCCCGGGACCACGAGGGGGCAGCAGAGGUCUGCUGCGCUGGCGGGAGGCUCUGUCCCCGGCUGACUGCAGGCUCCGGGCAGCUGUCCUGAGUUAAAACCUGAACCUCGGGUGGCCGAGAAUAGCAAGGGGCUGUCAUUCACGUGGGCAUCUUCCUUCCCAGGGUUUCGAAAGCCCCUCACGUCAUCCCUGUCAUUUCAUAAUCCUGCUCACAGAGCACUUUUUCCAUCUUCCUCAAACAGGUCUGAUCUUGGCCCGGGAGAAGGGUUCAGGGACACAGGAUUCCUGUGAGCAGUGUGUUAGAUGCUGGGCUGGUCACUGGGGCCACGGAGAUUAAAAAAAAAAAUCCUCUAUAAAACCCAGGACUUGCCCCCAAGGGAGACUGGCACCUAAAUAAGUAACCGAGGUACACGAUGCAAAGUGCAAUAAUAGACGGACAUCUGCGAUUCGGAGGCAGCACGAAGUGGGAGAAAGAGGGGCGGAAUUAGAAGCCAGGGAUUUGGCUUAAAGGUGGCCCGAGGUGUGCAGCUGCCUGCAAAUGCCAUCCUUCAUGUGAGCUGAGGCACAGGAAGAGGCUGAGAAGUCCGGUCUAGAGGGAUGUUGGGUAAAUGGUCCCAGGUUGAAAAAUAUUAGAUGCUGAAGGAAUGUCAGAUGGUCUCGAAAUUGUGAGGUUUGCCUCUGAGUCCCAGGCAGGAUGUGGGCUGGGAUAGCUGAGGCAGGCCGAACCUAGGCUCAGGAAGAUGGUGAGAGAUUGUAAAAAUAAACAGGUUUAUUGUAGAAAUUUUAGGGGUGGGGUUAGGAGGUCAUUAGGAGGUCCAGGGUCAGGGUCAGUGGGCUUCAGGACCUGGCAAAGCCAGAGGGCAUGAGAGCCAGCCUUGCCUACCCACUCCGGGCUGGGCCCACAGCUGCCACGACCCUUUGUCCCCAAGGGUGACAGGAGAGCUUGCACCAGCCCAGAUGCUUCCUUCUCCAAAGACAUGGACGGAGGGUCUCAGGCUUAUACCAGCCAGGAUUAUUCCAGUGGGAUUCCAGCUCUCCUCCUAGCCAUGUCCUUCCCGCAAAAGUUUGAAGCGGGUCUGGCUGGGUGAGGUAACUCCUUGACAAACUGGACUCAUUUUUGGCUGAUGACCUGUGUGGUCCCUGAAGCUCUGUCCUCACCCAAGAUUGGCCCAGAGGGGAGUGGAGGUGGAAGGGGAAGGCCAGGCAUGGCUGCGGCACUCCAUUUGCCCCCAGCAGCCUGGCGGUCUUCACUUGUGCUCACCCCACAGGCAUUGUGGACACAGGUGUGUCACCAAAGGGCCAUGAGGCUCCUGUGUCACGUGGGACACCCCUGCCUUGCCAAUCUUUAAUUUAUUAUUAUUAUUAUUUUUCCGAGAAGGAAUUUUGCUCUUGUCGCCCAGGCUGGAGUGCAGUGGCGUAAUCUCGGCACUGCAACCUCCGCCUCCCAGGUUCAAGUGAUUCUCCUGUCUCAGCCUCCUGAGUAGCGGGAUUACAGGUGCCCACCACCACGCCUGGCUAAUUUUUGUAUUUUUAGUAGAGACGGGUUUCACCAUGUUGGCCAGGCUGGUCUCGAACUCCUGACCUCAGGUGAUCCAUCUGCCUCGGCCUCCCAAAGUGCUGGGAUUACAGGAGUGAGCCACUGCACCCGGCCAUUAAUUUUUUUCCCAGGCAGUCUCCCUCUGGGCAGGUGAGUCCCAGGUGGCAGUGUCCGGCAGCCAUCCUCGGACUUCUUCCCCGCAGCAUGGCCAAGGGCAAGGGAGAGGGAAGGGACGCAGGCCAGGGCAUGACAUACAGUGGCCCAACGUAGGAAAAACAUUUUUUUUUGACCUCUCAUUCAUUUUCUUAAAAGUUCACAUGCCUUUCACCUUCUUUUUAGUGCCUCCUGGCAAGUUUUAUCAUUAAAAACAAUCUUUUUUAAUGACUUGCAUUUCCAUUUAAAGCGAUUUGUGUGACUGGUUUAUUUGCUUAGUCUUAAGGUGAUGUCACUGCAACAGGCACCAUGGAUUUAAGGAUAUAUAAAUCCUUACGUAUCCUUUUUUCUUUUUUUGAGAAGCAAAAAACAUGAUCUCAUUAGAUGUUAAAAUGUUAAAAUUAGAUAUUAAAUGUUAAAAUAUGGGGAAAAUGCAGAUCUUAGAACGAGGGAAAUUCUUGUUGGUAAUUUUCAUCCUCCCAAAAAACUUCAGAAUAAAAUUGGUUCUCCCUGAAGAUGUGUGACAUUUGUACUUGGCUUCAUGUCCUUAUCCUGCAGUGUUGGGGGGCACAGGGUGAAGUCACGCUUGUUGUGAGCUGGCCCUGUAUUUUCCCAGAGAGAAUUCUUUCUGGCUACCCAGAAUGUUCAAGGGCUGGAGUUCCAGUUAAUUGAACCAUUCUGGGUCAACAGCCGCUCUUGACAGAUUUGAAUUUUCAGCAUUUGGAGUUAGAAAUCUUUCUUAAGAAUGUAAUCUCAUCAACAAGCAUUCAGUGAGUACCGAAUAUGGAC
rnacentral:lncRNA from 10 species